UUAAGCGACUAAGCGUACACGGUGGAUGCCCUGGCAGUCAGAGGCGAUGAAGGACGUGCUAAUCUGCGAAAAGCGUCGGUAAGGUGAUAUGAACCGUUAUAGCCGGCGAUGUCCGAAUGGGGAAACCCAGUGCAAUUCGUUGCACUAUCGUUAACUGAAUACAUAGGUUAACGAGGCGAACCGGGGGAACUGAAACAUCUAAGUACCCCGAGGAAAAGAAAUCAACCGAGAUUCCCCCAGUAGCGGCGAGCGAACGGGGAGCAGCCCAGAGUCUGAAUCAGCUUGUGUGUUAGUGGAACGGUCUGGAAAGUCCGACGGUACAGGGUGAUAGUCCCGUACACCAAAAUGCACAGGCUGUGAACUCGAAGAGUAGGGCGGGACACGUGGUAUCCUGUCUGAAUAUGGGGGGACCAUCCUCCAAGGCUAAAUACUCCUGACUGACCGAUAGUGAACCAGUACCGUGAGGGAAAGGCGAAAAGAACCCCGGCGAGGGGAGUGAAAAAGAACCUGAAACCGUGUACGUACAAGCAGUGGGAGCACCUUCGGGUGUGACUGCGUACCUUUUGUAUAAUGGGUCAGCGACUUAUAUUCUGUAGCAAGGUUAACCGUAUAGGGGAGCCGCAGGGAAACCGAGUCUUAACUGGGCGUUAAGUUGCAGGGUAUAGACCCGAAACCCGGUGAUCUAGCCAUGGGCAGGUUGAAGGUUGGGUAACACUAACUGGAGGACCGAACCGACUAAUGUUGAAAAAUUAGCGGAUGACUUGUGGCUGGGGGUGAAAGGCCAAUCAAACCGGGAGAUAGCUGGUUCUCCCCGAAAGCUAUUUAGGUAGCGCCUCGUGAACUCAUCUUCGGGGGUAGAGCACUGUUUCGGCUAGGGGGUCAUCCCGACUUACCAACCCGAUGCAAACUACGAAUACCGAAGAAUGUUAUCACGGGAGACACACGGCGGGUGCUAACGUCCGUCGUGAAGAGGGAAACAACCCAGACCGCCAGCUAAGGUCCCAAAGUCAUGGUUAAGUGGGAAACGAUGUGGGAAGGCACAGACAGCCAGGAUGUUGGCUUAGAAGCAGCCAUCAUUUAAAGAAAGCGUAAUAGCUCACUGGUCGAGUCGGCCUGCGCGGAAGAUGUAACGGGGCUAAACCAUGCACCGAAGCUGCGGCAGCGACACUAUGUGUUGUUGGGUAGGGGAGCGUUCUGUAAGCCUGCGAAGGUGUGCUGUGAGGCAUGCUGGAGGUAUCAGAAGUGCGAAUGCUGACAUAAGUAACGAUAAAGCGGGUGAAAAGCCCGCUCGCCGGAAGACCAAGGGUUCCUGUCCAACGUUAAUCGGGGCAGGGUGAGUCGACCCCUAAGGCGAGGCCGAAAGGCGUAGUCGAUGGGAAACAGGUUAAUAUUCCUGUACUUGGUGUUACUGCGAAGGGGGGACGGAGAAGGCUAUGUUAGCCGGGCGACGGUUGUCCCGGUUUAAGCAUGUAGGCUGGUUAUCCAGGCAAAUCCGGAUAAUCAAGGCUGAGGUGUGAUGACGAGGCACUACGGUGCUGAAGUAACAAAUGCCCUGCUUCCAGGAAAAGCCUCUAAGCAUCAGGUAACAUUAAAUCGUACCCCAAACCGACACAGGUGGUCAGGUAGAGAAUACCAAGGCGCUUGAGAGAACUCGGGUGAAGGAACUAGGCAAAAUGGUGCCGUAACUUCGGGAGAAGGCACGCUGGUGUGUAGGUGAAGUCCCUGCGGAUGGAGCUGAGACCAGUCGAAGAUACCAGCUGGCUGCAACUGUUUAUUAAAAACACAGCACUGUGCAAACACGAAAGUGGACGUAUACGGUGUGACGCCUGCCCGGUGCCGGAAGGUUAAUUGAUGGGGUUAUCCGUAAGGAGAAGCUCUUGAUCGAAGCCCCGGUAAACGGCGGCCGUAACUAUAACGGUCCUAAGGUAGCGAAAUUCCUUGUCGGGUAAGUUCCGACCUGCACGAAUGGCGUAAUGAUGGCCAGGCUGUCUCCACCCGAGACUCAGUGAAAUUGAACUCGCUGUGAAGAUGCAGUGUACCCGCGGCAAGACGGAAAGACCCCGUGAACCUUUACUAUAGCUUGACACUGAACAUUGAGCCUUGAUGUGUAGGAUAGGUGGGAGGCUUUGAAGCGUGGACGCCAGUCUGCGUGGAGCCAACCUUGAAAUACCACCCUUUAAUGUUUGAUGUUCUAACGUUGGCCCCUGACCGGGGUUGCGGACAGUGUCUGGUGGGUAGUUUGACUGGGGCGGUCUCCUCCCAAAGCGUAACGGAGGAGCACGAAGGUUAGCUAAUCCUGGUCGGACAUCAGGAGGUUAGUGCAAUGGCAUAAGCUAGCUUGACUGCGAGCGUGACGGCGCGAGCAGGUGCGAAAGCAGGUCAUAGUGAUCCGGUGGUUCUGAAUGGAAGGGCCAUCGCUCAACGGAUAAAAGGUACUCCGGGGAUAACAGGCUGAUACCGCCCAAGAGUUCAUAUCGACGGCGGUGUUUGGCACCUCGAUGUCGGCUCAUCACAUCCUGGGGCUGAAGUAGGUCCCAAGGGUAUGGCUGUUCGCCAUUUAAAGUGGUACGCGAGCUGGGUUUAGAACGUCGUGAGACAGUUCGGUCCCUAUCUGCCGUGGGCGCUGGAGAAUUGAGGGGGGCUGCUCCUAGUACGAGAGGACCGGAGUGGACGCAUCACUGGUGUUCGGGUUGUCAUGCCAAUGGCACUGCCCGGUAGCUAAAUGCGGAAGAGAUAAGUGCUGAAAGCAUCUAAGCACGAAACUUGCCCCGAGAUGAGUUCUCCCUGAGACUUUAAGUCUCCUGAAGGAACGUUAAAGACGAUGACGUUGAUAGGCCGGGUGUGUAAGCGCAGCGAUGCGUUGAGCUAACCGGUACUAAUGAACCGUGAGGCUUAACCUU
rnacentral:rRNA from 1 species